AUACGGAGGAUCCGAGCGUUAUCCGGAUUUAUUGGGUUUAAAGGGUGCGCAGGCGGGAGAUUAAGUCGGCGGUGAAAUUUUGCAGCUCAACUGUAAAAGUGCCUUCGAAACUGGUUUCCUUGAGUGUAGAUGAAGUAGGCGGAAUUUGUGGUGUAGCGGUGGAAUUCAUAGAUAUCACGAGGAACUCCGAUUGCGCAGGCAGCUUACUAAACUACUACUGACGCUCAGGCACGAAGGCGUGGGGAUCAAACAGGAUUAUAUACCCUGGUAGUCCACGCAGUAAACGAUGAUUACUAGCUGUUUGCGAUACAAUGUAAGCGGCUGAGCGAAAGCGUUAAGUAAUCCACCUGGGGAGUACGUUCGCAAGAAUGAAACUCAAAUGAAUUGACGGGG
rnacentral:rRNA from 1 species